AAACAUGUUAGUUUGGGGAAAGCCUUAAAUCAAUCAUUAUUUAUUUCCUCUUGACCUUUCAUUCUAUUUUAUUUUUACACAUUCUCCUUUCAUUUUGCAGUAAUGCCCAAAAGGAGUAAAGGAGAAAACAGAGAAAAAAACAAUUAUGUGUUCUCCCUUGGAAUAUGGACUAAAUUCCUAUGGUCCCCUUUUGGAAGGCAUUGUGGAACCUGGAGGGAAAAUACAUCUCAGUUCUUGAUCUGUACUGCAAACAAAUAUUCAUGAUGCCUCUUUGUUGCCCUAGGAAGAAUACACCUGAAAUGAACCUAGCUUCAUAUCAGAGAGUCUUUCCUCAAGAAUGGUCCAAUCCAGUGAAGCCUGUGCAGAAAGACUUAUUAUAUUACUCAUUCAUGACACCCUGUGCAUUGAGCACGCUCAUGGAAGAGACAAUACAAUUGUGGUAAAGUUUUAAAUGGUAUUUAAGGCUGUGUCUGGUGAUAACUGACACAUUCAGAGUGGUUACAAUAAUCCAAACUCAUGCCAGCUGCAGCCAUUCCCCCAUAGUGUAGACAGUGGAGGUGCCCUGGGGGAGGCCAGCUGCCAUCUGAAAGGCAUAAGUGGGGCAAAGUGAUUCAAAGUCCACCAUGCCGCAGUGCAGGAUGAGGACUGUGUCACAGCCAGGUGAGACUUGAGGUGCUGGGAGCUGGCCGAUGACAGGGCAGAGUACCUUUGUAUCAAGUGACUGACAACCCCACAACCAACAAGGGAAGAUACUGCUCACCCUGGAGAGAUGGUGAUGUAGUUUGUGUGAUGGAAAGCCCAACCGACCAUGCUGAAGGGCAAUGAAAAUGUGUGCAAGGUUCUGUAUGGGGAGCAGUGGAGAUGGUGUGCUUCAGAAGUCCUGAGCUGGCCAGGGUACUGACCCAAACUGUCCUACACUUGCUGAGAUCAACACCUUUCCUGUGGAUUUGCCCCAAGGGAGGAGCCACGUCACUCAAGGUACCAAAGUGUGACAGGCUCACCCAUGCCAUGAUGGAGGGCUC
rnacentral:lncRNA from 1 species